GAUAUUAUGAAAAUGCACGCAUGUUAUUUUAUCUGUGAUGCCUCUAUUGUUGACAACUGCAAAGUAUAGAGAAACAUGGCUCAUUAGUGCAAGGCCACAUUCUUGGAAGACAAAUGUCAUAUUCUCAAAGACCUUAGGAAUGAAGCCUAAAUCAAAAUAAUUCCAAAGGAGGAGAUGGUGUUUGACUUGGCGGUUGUCACUGGUUAGGAUGCCGAGUCUCACAUUGGAGUACCUUGGUUUGAUUCUCUCCAGCCAGGCUCCACAGUGGCGUUGGCUCAGAGUGGGUUCCUGUCUCCCAUGUAGAAGACCUUGACUUAGUUCCCAGCUCCUGGCCUCUUAGUUCAGGCAUUUGGAGAGUAAGCAGUGAAUGGAAGCAUACUCUUUGUCUCUCUGUCACUCUCUCAAAUUUUUUAAACACUUAUUUAUCUAUUUAUUUGAGUGGUAGAGUUAUAGAGAAAGAGAGUCAGAGACCUAGAAAGAGGUCUUCUAUCCACUGGUUCACUCCACAAGUGGCCGCAACGGUGAGAGCUGGGCUAAUCCAAAGACAGGACAAGGAGCUUCCUCCAAGUCUCCCAAGCACCUGAGCCAUCUUCCCCUGCUUUCCCAGGCUGUAAGCAGAGGGCUAGAUCAGAAAGGGCGCAGCUGGAACAUGAACCAGCACCCAUAUGAGAUCCCAACACCAUAGGCAGAAGCUUAACCUACUAUGCCACAUGGCCAGCCCCUCAAUUUUUUUUUUUAAUUAAAAAAGUAAUAUAUCAUGCUGAGUGAAAUAAGCCAGUCCCAAAGGGACAAAUAUCAUUUGUUCUCCCUGAUCAGUGACAACUAACCGAACACCAAAAAGGAAACCUGUUGAAGUGAAAUGGACACUAUGAGAAACAGUGACUUGAUCAGCCCUUGUUCUGUUGAUGUACAACUUAAUACUUUAUCUCUUUUAGUAUUUUUUUUUGUUCUACUAAAUACUAUUGGUUGAACUCUGUAAUUACACACAGUUAUUCUUAGGUGUUGAAAUUUAACUGAAAAGUGAUCUCUGUUAAAUAUAAGAGUGGGAAUAAGAGAGGGAGGAGAGGUACAAUUUGGGACAUGCUCAAGCUGACUUGCCCCAAAUGGUAGAGUUAGAAACGUGCCAGGGGAUUCCAAUUCAAUCCCAUCAAGGUGGCAUGUACCAAUGCCAUCUCACUAGUCCAAGUGAUCAAUUUCUGUUCACAACUGGUCAUACUGAUAGGUCUAAGAGUCAAAGGGAUCACAUAAACAAGACUAGUGUCUGCUAAUACUAACUGAUAGAAUCAAAAAGGGAGAGAACGAUGCAACAUGGGAAGCGGGAUACACAGCAGACCCAUAGAAUGGCAGAUGUCCUAAACAGCCCUCUGGCCUCAGAAUCAGCCCUUAAGGCAUUCGGAUCCUGCUAAAAAGCCCAUGAGAGUAUUUCAGGCAUGGAAAGCCAAGACAUUCUGGCAAAAAACAAACAAACAAACAAACACCCAAACCAAACCUAAAUGAAAGAUCUCUGCGAGUGAGAUCCCAGUGGAAAGAACGGGCCAUCAAAGUAGGAGGUACCUUUUUCUGCAGGGAGGAGAGAACUUCCAUUUUGACUAUGGCCUUGUCUAAAUAUGAUCAGAGUCAGUGAACUCAAAAGGCUUCCAUAGCCUUGGCAACUCAUGACAAGAGCCUAGGGAGAUUACUGACACCAUAAACAAGAGUAUCAAUUGUUAAGUCAACAACAGGAGUCACUGUGCACUUACUCCUCAUGUAGGACCUCUGUCCUUAAUGUGUUGUUCAAUGUGAAUUAAUGCUAUAAGAAGUAAUCAAACAGUACUUUAUACUUUGUGUUUCUGUGUGGGUGCAAACUGUUGAAAUCUUUACUUAAUAUAUACUAAAUUGAUCUUCUAUAUAUAAAGAUAAUUGGAAAUGAAUCUUGAUGCGAAUGGAGUGGGAGAGGGAGCAGGAGAUGGGAGGGUUGCUGGGUGGGAGGGAAGUUACUGGGGGGAAAGAGCCAUUGUAAUCCAUAAGCUGUGCUUUGGAAGUUUCUAUUUAUUAAAUAAAGGUUAAAAAACAACAACAACAAAAAAGUAAUGCUAUAAAUACACGAUGGAUACUGUGAUCUGAGCAGUUAGCUAUGAGAUAAUUUCCUGACCCUGGCACAAGAACUUCAAUAAUGUUUAUAAAUAUCAUUAAGUCACCUUGUAGUCUUUUUUUUUUUUUAAAAACCUUUUGGAAGACAAGCUAUUUUUUUUUUUUUUAAUUUAGUGUUAUACGAUAAACGGUUAGCAUGUAGUAUGAAGUAAGUGGAAUAUAAAUCCAUGUGGAGUGUCAGAUAAAUUCAUCACUAAUGCUAAAGAAUGUGAAAACUUGGCUGUGGAUCGCAAGUGUUAAGAAAUACUCAAAGCUUGUGCUCCUGUACCAAGCAGGCAACGGGAAAAGCUGGAAAUAGAGAGCAGCCUGUUCAAGGGCGCAGUGAAGAUCGUGACGUUUGGGCGGUUGUAGCUACAUCACCUGCCGCAUUGCAUCUCUGCUGGUGCUGGCUGCGCAGGAAAACUUUGUCUCCUACCUGGUCCAGAGAGUCUGGUGUUGGGAUUGGUUAAAAGUUUGUAUAAACUGAGGGAUUAGCUUGAAUUUUCUCAGAAGGCCAUUCUGCUUUCUCUUUGGUGCACCACCCUCUGAGCCUGGCCAGGGCUGAGUUCUGUUGAAGAGGUAAAUGUCUGCAGGGCCACUGGCAGCAAAGAGAGAAGCAGCGGGGAAGGAAGGGGGGCCACCAGCAGGAGCCUCUCGGGUGCAGGUGGCAAGUCCCACCACGGAGACCAGGCUCAGACAGACUGCGGAAACGCAACACGCGAGGUGAAGCCUGGGCUUGGAAAAUUCACUCAGGUACCGAAUGCGCCUGUGCGAUGUCAGAUGCUUCCUGGAAAACGAACCACCUUCUAACAGCCAGUGUCCCCCAGUCGAGUCCCCCAGACAGAGGUAAUUUUAUCUCCAGGAGCUUUGACAGUGAAUACAGGUCUUCUCAGGGGUUCUGAUUAGUUUCUGCCUCCAUCCCACUUCAGCUCCGAGAUGUAUAUUGGAGGAAUCUCAGAAAUUCCUCCUUUUUAGAAGGCGUCCGGUUGGCUAAAUGCCAGACAAUGCAGCUUUUUAUAAGUCCUUUGCUACGAGUCCAUCUCUCUCUGCUUUGAGAAGAUGCUGGAAGGCAUUACAUGACUAAUGGUUCUUCCAGUAAACAAAGAGUUAGUCGUUUUGAAGUGAUUUUUAUUCUUUUUGUGAAGCAUUAUCUUUUUAUUUCAUCGGUUGCCUCAAAUGUCUCUUCUUUGAUGGAAUCACAGACUUCGAAAACUGACACUAAUAUCAGAGCAAGGGAGUGAGUGGCUCGGUCUUGGGGAAGUCCCUUCUCUUCCGAGGCCUUCAUCCAUGAAUAGGAUGAUUCUCCAGGGAGAGGAAGUCAUCUGGCCACAGUUGGACCCCAGAGAGCACAGGUGUUUGGCCAUGCAGCAGCCCCGCUGGGUGAGCACUGGUCACUUUCCUGGGUCCUGGGCACGGGGGUCCAGCAGAUGAUAGUGCAGAGUCCCUGCCUCAGGGAGCUGGCAUUCUAGUGGUGGAGACACAGAAAAGAAGCCGUUAACUGGCUGAGGAUUUGUGUCCAGUACUGCUGAGUGCUAGCAAGAAACAUCAAAUGAAGGCUGGGGGGCUGCCCGGAAGUGGCAGGAGGAGGAGCGUCUGGGGGGAGUGGUUGGGAACAGUCUCCCUGAGGAGGUGGCUUUGGAGUGGAGGCCUGGAUGAAGCAGAAGAGAUGCACAGCGGUCUAAGGGCAGGGCAUCCAGGGACGAGGGAGCAGCAGGUGUGCUGGCCCCGAGGCAGGGCCUUGGUGAGUCUAAGGAGUGCGCACAGGGCCAGGAGGACUGGAAUGGAGAGAUCAAGGACAAGGAGCAGGAGGGGAUUGGCAAGAAAGGCAGGCAGAGGCCAGCCUGGGCACAGGUUUGGAUGUGUUCUGGGUAUGAGAGGAGUGCUUAUUUGCUUUUUAAUGAAAUGAAUACAUGCAUUUAUUCAUUUGAGGGGGAGAGCGAGAGACACCUCCCAUCUACUGGUUCACUCCCCAAAUGCCCUGGAGCCAGGGACUCAGUCCAGGCCUCCCAUGUGGGUGGCAAGGACUCAACUACCUGAACCAUCACAUGCUGCCAUCCAGCGUGUGCUUUGGCAGGAAGCUGGAGUCAGGAGCAGAGCUGGGACUUAAACCCAGGCACUCAGAUACGAGAUGUGGGUAUCCUGGUGCCAUAUUAUCCACUGUGCCCGCUGGGGUAUUUUGAUUUAGAAGUGUCCUGAUCUGACUUUUGACUUCGAUCUCUCUGGCUGCCAUGUGGGGAAAGAGCACAGCUUUGGGAUGCUCUAUGGGUGAGUGUUUGUGUCUCCCCAAAAUGAUGUGUCAAGGAUGUAACCCCCAGUGUCAUGAUAUUUGGAAGUGAGGCUUUGUGAGGCAAUUUGGUGGGGUCCUCAUGAGUGGCAUUAGUGCCUUUGCUGUAAGAGACAGGCAAGAGAUGAUGUCUGUGCCAGGUGAGGGCAGAAGUGGGCAGGGGGCCUCCCCGACACUGCCUCUGCCCGUGCCUCCAUCUUCCCAGCCUCUGGAACCAGGAGAAACGCAUCCUUGGUGUUUGGAGACCCGGUCUGUGAUAUUUGUGAGGUGACUGACAGAGGGCUGGGGAAUGGGUUCCUGCGUUCCCCAUCUCAUCUGUGGGACUUCAGGCAACUGCAUUUUCUCCUCUGAGAUGCCCUUACCCUGUGUGUAUAGUGAAGACAGCUACUCUCGCCCGAUAGGGCUGCUGGGAGGAUCAAACGAGAUGGCUGCCAGCACCGUGCUCACCACAGACCUGGCUCUGUCCACUGGACGCGUGGUGUAGCAUGUCCACUCCCACGUGGAGGCAAUAGCAGGACAGUGGCCUUGACAGCUGCCUCUGAUUUUUGAGCGUUUCAAGCUCUGCUCCGUGGACCAGAGAAUGGGGUUAGUUUUGAGGCCAUGUCAGGAGGGUGUAGUGUGCUUCGAUUGCCUUGGUAAUUGCAGAGGUCUCUCCGUCAUGGUCCUCUGGGUUACCCUCUCAGCUGGGCCAGGCCUCUGAAGGAUGACAUUGAGGUGUAGCCCAGCCAGGUCAAGGAUAAUAGGCAGUGUGCACCUGCUGAGCCUGCGAAUCAAUACAGUCCAGGGUGUGGUGACAUUUCCUCUCAGGGAGGCCUGCAAAGGUAAUUCCUGGAACUGGGUCACGGCUGGAAGGAUCAGAUUUCCCUAAUUGAUGGAGUCUUCAACGUGUUUAUGUGCCGUUCAGAUGUAUUGGAGGCAAGCCUUAUUACCUCUCAUACUUACUUAACACCAAUCUGAGUUUUAAACCUAGGGCUGUUAUUGCAGUUGAAUAUUAGACGUAAUAAUUACAUAAUUCAUUUGAUCUAAGUUCCAAAUCAACUGUGAAGGCACAAAGGGAGAGCAUGUCUCCAGGGGAAGCUGGUUGCCAGGGAGGUUUUCAGAGAUCGGAGGCUCUGCCCUCUGGAAGGAACGUUAAUGAGGAUGUGGCAUGAGGCACCUUGACAGUACUCUUGGCAACUUCCAGCCAUGAUCAACUCAUUUGCUCAAUUAGCAUUUAUUGAGUACAUAUCAUGUGACAGGACUUGUGCUGAACUGUCGGGCUAUGAAGAUAAAGAGGCCUCAUUUCAGACCUCAGGGAAUUUACUACCUAGUUGUAGGAAGAGAAGGCAAAAAUGGGUCAUAUGUACACAAACACAUGCAUGGAUAGUAGACGGCCUUACUCGCUGGUUAGGAGUGUGUGUACAUUUAACAGUCCCCACAGCACGGUGAUCCCCAUUUCUGUCUCUUUGCAUGGCUCUUACUAUUGGGAAGACCUUCCUUCUGCCACACAGGAAGCAUGUCACGCUGGGUUUACUCACUGCUGCUGGAGCGACACUGUUGUAUCCCACACAGUGAGUCCUUCCACAUGUUAGCCCUUGUAGCAUCUCCAGGCAGAGGCCUGGUUCCUUCAGAGUUUGCAGCUGCACAAAUGCACCUGUCUGGGCCAUCCUCACAGGCCUUGGUUGUGUUCCUCUGACCAGCUUCUGUACCCCUGGAAGGGUGUUUGGGGGCUGUAGAGGGUAUGUAGCUGCGCUCUCUUUCCUGCCCUCAGCUGGGAUCAGUGUGGCUGGACAUCCACUAUUGAUCACUCAGAGUCCCGAGUUGGUCAUAGACCCAGCUGGUUUACCCCAUCACUCCACAGCUGCCUGUUCUUCAGAGUCUCAUACAAGAUUGCACUGGGAAAUCUUAGCCUACCUCACCACUUGCAGAGAUUACUGGAGAGCGGAACCGUCAUCAAGCAUGCUGUCCGUUCUGCUCAGCUUGGUUUCAGGUGCACAUUUAAAAACAUACAGAGACAGAGGCAGAGAGCAUGCCCAUCUGCUUGUUUGAUCUCCAGAUGCCUGCAGUGGCCAAGACUGGGCCAGGAAUGCCAUCCAGGUCUCUCACAUGGGCAGCAGGAACCCAAUUACUUGACCCUUCGCCUUCUGCCUCCUAAGGUCUGCACUGGUGGAAGCUGAGGUCAGGAGCUGGAACUAGGACUCAACUCUAGGCACCCAGUGUGGGACACCGGCAUCUGGACCUCUAGGCUGAAUGCCCAUUCCCCAGUUGCACAGUUAGUCCACCCUACUCCCUUGAUUCCUCCCUCUAAAUCAGGCCUUUCGUCAGCCUGUUCUUUCCCCUGUGCCACCUGGGGAAUUCUGAUUCAGUAGGUCUGGGAUGGAUGCUGGGAUGCUCCAUUUCAACGAGGCUCCUGCAUUGUUCAGAUCACAGUCGAGGUUACUUAGGAGUGAUAAAAGCCACGGACAUGUUGAGGGCCGAGGACAGAGCCCAGUGAAGAGUCCCUAGAAAUGUCCUUUGUUGUUGACAGUCAUUCACUUGUGUGUGCCCUUGAGUGUCAUCAGCCAAGCAGUUUCUAAUCCAUCUCCUUGACAUUGCUCCAGGCUGUUUUUCUGCAUCCUGUAUUUGUAAGUAGACCAUAUGCUUUAUUUGUUCUCUGAUUACCCAGCUAGGGACUUAGCUGAACCAAGUACUUGCUUAUUGAAUCCAUGCUGGAUCAUGGAGCACAUCAUGCUGUCAUCCAGGAGCUCACGCACCGUCCUCAGUUGAGCAAGGACUUCAGCCCUCUCGAAACACUUUCCUCACCUGGCUUCCAAGAUACCCCCCUCACAGGCAGGAUCUCCCACACCCCUACAUUUUAGAGGGCCCCAGGCUCAGUCCUGAGACAUCUUCUCUACUUUUCACUCUGCUCUAAGAGGUCUCAUCCACAAGCCACCAUCUCUGAUGACUCCCAGAUUUAUUGUCUGGUCCUGACCUCAUCUGAAUCCCACACUUGCAAAGCCAGGAGGCUGCCCAGCAACUCCACUCAGGUGCCACUUGGAUUCUGAAACUGGACACAUCCAAGAGGACACUCCUGAUCCCCUCCUCAGACCUGCUUUUCCCAGUUGCAGUAAAUGGCAACUCCAUCUGUGCACUCCCGCAGGGACCCUUGACUUCGUUGGGUUUCUUUUCAUACUCCCACACGCAGUCAGUCCACGGGCAACUGUUAUCAGCUGUGCCUUGAAACUGUCUUAAGAGUAUGAGUCCUGGCCGGCGCCACAGCUCACUAGGCUAAUCCUCCGCCUUGCGGCGCUGGCACACCGGGUUCUAGUCCUGGUCGGGGCGCCGGAUUCUGUCCCGGUUGCCCCUCUUCCAGGCCAGCUCUCUGCUGUGGCCAGGGAGUGCAGUGGAGGAUGGCCCAAGUGCUUGGGCCCUGCACCCCAUGGGAGACCAGGAGAAGCACCUGGCUCCUGGCUUCGGAUCAGUGCGGUGCGCCGGCCGCAGCGGCCAUUGGAGGGUGAACCAACGGCAAAGGAAGACCUUUCUGUCUGUCUCUCUCUCUCACUGUCCACUCUGCCUGUCAAAAAAAAAAAAAAAAGUAUGAGUCCUUCUUACCAACAACAAAAUCUAAAACAUGCCGCUACUACCCCAGAGUCUUUGUACGUACUCUCCCGCUGUGUGCUAUGCUGUCUUCCAGAGAUCCACAUUGACAGUUUCCUUUCUUUUCUGGUCCCAACUCAAACGUCACCAUUGUCCUUAGGUCUUCCUGUCUAUGUAGAGUAGCCUUUCUUGUAUUUUUUCCUCUAAGGACUUACCACUUAUGCUCUAAGAAGUUUACUUGCCUUAUCUCUCCCUGUGAGAGCAGAGUUUUUGCUAAUUGCUGCACUCAGUUCUUAGUACGUUCAAUGGCAGAUGGUGAUGUUCAGAAAGUAGUGCACACACAGCAUGCCUUUGGCGUAGUGGCUGUAAUACUACUUGGGACACCCAAAUCUUGUGUCAGAGUGCCUGAGUUUGAGUCCCAGUCCCACUCCCAAUUCUAGCUUACUGCAAAUGCACCCUGAGAGGUAGCAGGUGGUGGCUCAAGUACUUAGACCCCUGCCACCCAUGUGGGAGACCCUAAUUAAGUUCUGGGCCUGCUUUUGGCCUGGCCCAGUCCUAGCUGUUCUGGAGAAUUGAGGAGUGAACCAGUGGAAGGACUUGUCUUUCUCUCUCUCUGCCUUUCAAAUAAAAUGAAAAUAAAAAAUAAAAUUUGAAAAAAAAAAGAAAUAGUGUUUAUGAAAAAAUGAUUGAGCAAAUGAAUGACAAAAGCAAUCUUUUGAACCGUGCUAUCUUGUGGCAUCUAUCACUGAGUUGUGGAAAUCACUGGUUGCCUCAGAUCUCCCAGUAGGCAUUCUGUGGGACUAUAAUGAAAUCUCUGAGGCAGGGUGCUUAUGCAGAAAAGAGGUGUAUUUAGCUCACAGUUCUAGGGCAUGGCUCCAAGGCAUGGUGCCAGUAUCAGCUCAGGUCUGGUGAAGGCAUUGUGUCAUGUCAUGGCCGGGGACAGAGAGAUUCAGGAGCCAGACUCAGGCUUUGCUAACAACUCACUCUCCCCAGAACUUACUCCAGGCACCCACACCCCUUCUGAGGGCAGCACCCCAAAGACCUAGCAACCUCCCAUCUCUGCAGGGUCCAACCACCUCCCAACAUCCACACUCGGAGGACCAAGCCUCCCACACAUGAGCCUGCAGGGCCCAAACCACUUCCAAACCAUAGCCCAUCCGAGCACUGUAUUAACCAUUCCUACAGCAUAAAAGGAGGCAGAAUUACCUGUGGUUUCUGAGGUCUGAUUACCAGGUGGUACUGUGUUAGAAAUAGCAAGUCCAUUUAUUCUGGGUAUGAGGAAAGAAAAUAACCAUUUAUUUCUGUCGUGAAGAUGGGACUCUAUAUAUGAUUAUCUCAUUUCAUGGGGAAAAUAGGGCUGCCUUUCCUUUUCCAUUUUUUCAUGACUUUGUUCUGAGGUGGGGGUAGAGGCAGGGUGACUGCUCCCCAGCAAGGGCAAGGGAGGGGAUUGCUAGGGGAGGUGCCGAGGGCUGGUGGGGACUCAGCUUUUCAGAGGAGGACAAAUGUUCUUUCCUGAUCUUAGUGUGAGUUUGAGGUGCCCACUGCUUCCAGGGCCAGCCCUGACGCAGCCCCGGGCCCGCUGGGCAGGAAGGGUAGCCAGCCCUGGCUCGCUCGUUUGGCCUGACAGCAGCUGUGCGGGUGGCCCUUUGAUGCUCACUCCGUUCCCAACAUAGGAUGCGCAGAAGAUGUUUGCAGACUGAAUGCACGAGCGUAUGUAAACGCGCGCUCUGCCUGUUGUAAGAUGCUACACAGGAAACUUUGCUCCUUAUAAAGUGGUUUGUUUUUGCUUCCAUCAUGUCUGGAUCGCCUCGGGUUAGAUUUUAAGAGAAGGCAUUCUGUUUCAGAUAUGGGGAAACUGAAGCCCAGAAACGUUAAGCCAGGAGUGUGAUCCUCUCCCUCUGCUCCUCUCUCUAAUCCUCCAUUUGCCUCCAAUGCACUCACUCAGUUGGGUUGUGUCAGAGGUGUUUGGAGGGCAGAGCUGGAGCCCAGGGCUGAGCCAAACAGGGAGACUGGGGAAUUCGCCCCUGCACUGCCUUUCACCUUGGCUUUGUGUAUGUGAUAUGGAGUCGUUAUUUUAUUUUAUUUUAUAUUUUAUCUUAUUUGAAAGGGAGAGUUACAGAGAAAGAGAGAGAAAGACAGAGAGAAAUCUUCCAUAUGCUAGUUUACUCUGCAAAUGGCUGCAACAGCCAGGCCAAAGCCAGGAGCCAGGAGCCAGGAGCUUCUGGGUCUCACACGAAGGUGCAGGGGCCCAAGCACUUGGGCCAUCUUCUGCUGCUUUCCCAGGCCAUAGCAGAGAGCGAGAUAGGAAGUGGAACACCUGGGUCUUAAACCGGCACCCAUAUGGGAUGCUGGUGUUACAGGUGUCGGCUUUAUGCAUUAUGUCACAGUGCCAGCCCAGAUUCAGAGUCAUUCUCCAGGGGGCUUUCCCCUGCCCUGUCUGUAACUGGAAGUCUCAUCCCAGCCCAUCCACCUGCUUCCUGUCACAAUCCUACCAUAGACUCACUUGGAAAAACUGUCCCUGUUUUCCCAGGAAGGCAAAUUAGAGACAGUGAGAGUCUAUGACUCGGCACACAGCAUUGCAGGACGAGUUUCUGCAACCAGGGGCGGCGACAGUAGGUCGGAGCCCUUACCCAGAUGACUGGCACCGAGAAGCGGGUUCCUCGGCUCUGCACCUACUCUCAGGAGACAUUGCUGAGUUCUGAAAAUGAUGCCUCUGUGAAGAUUGCAUUUUAUCGUCUGCAGAGCAGUGCAGUUGUCCAUGUCUCUCCCUCAGUUGUCCAGCUGGGCCCUACCGUUCCCCAUUGCAUGUUCAGAGCUGGAAAACACUUGGCUCUCGUUCAAUGCCAGGCGGUUGACCUCCCAAUGCUCUGAUCACCGAACAUGCCGUGAGCUGGAAAAGCUUUCACUUUUCCCUCUGUGCAUAUCUUUGCAACUUUAUUCAGAGGGGUUUCUAGGGGCUCACGGUCCAGCCGGAUCACAACUCCACCCCGUGAUGACACUGCCCUGAGUGAGAAUCAGAACUCUAAAGCAAGGCAGGUGCCGCAACUCAAUAGGCUAAUCCUCCGACUGCGGCGCUGGCACACCGGGUUCUAGUCCCGAUCGGGGCGCCGGAUUCUGUCCCGGUUGCCCCUCUUCCAGGCCAGCUCUCUGCUGUGGCCAGGGAGUGCAGUGGAGGAUGGCCCAGGUGCUUGGGCCCUGCACCCCAUGGGAGACCAGGAGAAGCACCUGGCUCCUGCCUUCGGAUCAGCGCGAUGCACCUGCCGUGGCGGCCGUUGGAGGGUGAACCAACGGCAAAGGAAGACCUUUCUGUCUGUCUCUCUCUCUGUCCACUCUGCCUGUCAAAAAAAACAACUCUAAAGCGAACUUCAUGAUAAAUGUUCUCCCUUACCCACCCUGCCUGCCUGCCUGCAGCCCUGAGCAGGAGAUGAGAUGUGGGCCUCUGCUCCCUCUUCCUCCUGUAGUGCCUACCCCUUCCCCAAAUGCACCUGCCCACUUGCUUCCAGGGCUGAAGUGGGGGUGGGGCCGUGUCCCCGGCCUGGCAGAUGGUAAAGGGGUCUUUCUGAGGUUUCACUGCUAAGUCCCCUGAGCUGGGUAGACAGCUCACUUCUGGAGGCCUCCUGGCACCCUGCUCAAACGGUGGGUGUCUUCCUCUGCCCGUGCAUCCCAAGCUCUGCCCUCUGAGGCUGCUUCUCACCCCUGUGGUAUGACAGGGCCAGGGAUAAUCUGAGCUGGCUCUCCCAUGCAGCCCUUAUGUUUUUUCCUGGACAUGCCCAUCUGGGAGGGAGGCCCCCACCAGACCAGCCCUCGCCUGCCACUGACCUCAAAGCAGUUGGCUAGCCCUUGUUGGUCUAGAUUUCUGGGGCAGAAGUCAGUCCACAGGUCCCUUCCCAGGCAGGGUCUGACCUAGCUGCUGGUUCUCUCAACUGCUGAGUCCCCCUUUAAAACUCCCAGUCGGGGCCGGUGCUGUGGUGUAGCAGGUAAAAGCUGCUGCCUGUGGUGCCGGCAUCCUAUAUGGGCGCCGGUUUGAGACCCAGCUGCUCCACUUCCUAUCCAGGUAUCUGCUAUGGCCUGGGAAAGCAGUGGAAGAUGGCCCAAGUCCUUGGGCUCCUACACCCACGUGGGAGACCUGGAAGAAGCUCCUGGCUCCUGGCUUUGGAUCAGCGCAGCUCUGGCCGUUGCGGCUAUCAGGGGAGUGAACCAGUGGAUGGAAAACCUCUCUCUCCCCCUCUCCCUCUCUCUCUCUCCUUCUCCCUCUCCUCUCUCUGUAUAACUGUGACUUUCAAGUAAAAUAAAUAAAUCUUAAAAAAAAAAAAAAAAAA